rnacentral:sRNA from 1 species
GUCACCGCACAUCGGUGACCGGGUGUAGGAACCCGGACUUACUAUCGGCGAUAAGAUCGGACGCGCCAGCGUCCUUUUU